rnacentral:sRNA from 1 species
GUCGUGAGAUGUUGGGUUAAGUCCCGCAACGAGCGCAACCCUUGUCCCUAGUUGCUACGCAAGGGCACUCUAGGGAGACUGCCGGUGACAAACCGGAGGAAGGUGGGGAUGACGUCAAGUCCUCAUGGCCCUUAUGGGUAGGGCUUCACACGUCAUACAAUGGCCGGUACAGAGGGUUGCCAACCCGCGAGGGGGAGCCAAUCCCAGAAAGCCGGUCGUAGUCCGGAUUGCAGUCUGCAACUCGACUGCAUGAAGUCGGAAUCGCUAGUAAUCGCGGAUCAGCAUGUCGCGGUGAAUACGUUCCCGGGUCUUGUACACACCGCCCGUCACACCAUGGGAGCGGGAUGUACCAGAAGUAGGUAGGCUAACUCGCAAGAGGGGCCGCUUACCACGGUGCGUUUCGUGACUGGGGUGAAGUCGUAACAAGGUAGCCGUAUCGGAAGGUGCGGCUGGAUCACCUCCUUUCUCGGAAACAGGAGUCAGGAGUCAGUUGACAGGAGUCAGUAAUGACGACUGCCCACAGACCCUGCCACUCCCAUUCCCACCUGCGAGUACCCACAACCUAUCGGUUGUCAUCGGGAAUCAGAAAACAGGGCCUGUAGCUCAGUUGGUUAGAGCACCGUCUUGAUAAGGCGGGGGUCGAUGGUUCGAAUCCAUCCAGACCCACCAGGUUCGCAGCAUCAGGAUCGAGCAACAAAGGGGCUGUAGCUCAAUUGGGAGAGCGCCUGCUUUGCAAGCAGGAGGUCGUCGGUUCGAUCCCGUCCAGCUCCACCAAGUGAGAUGGGCGACGGGGUUACUGACUUUCUGUCAACUGACUCCUGAUUCCUGAAACCUAUCGGUUGCACGCCAGCACUCAAUCAUGCGCUUUCAGAAGAUGAGAGCGCAACGUUGAGAGCUGCAGUGUUCUUUAACAAUUCGGAAGGUAAGGGUUCACAUGACUUGAUGAGAGUCGUGUGGGCAAUAGGGUUGAGUUGUAUCUUCAAAAGCCGGUCACCUUUUAAAAAGGGGGGUGAGCGGUGGCGCGAACACAACGUAACUUGGGGUCCGAUGAGGGCUUACAGUUAUGGGGUCAAGCGACUAAGUGCAUGUGGUGGAUGCCUAGGCGAUUACAGGCGAUGAAGGACGUGGCAGCCUGCGAAAAGCUGCGGGGAGCUGGCAAACAAGCAUUGAUCCGCAGAUGU